rnacentral:rRNA from 1 species
AAAUUAGACCGCCUGGGGAGUACGGCCGCAAGGUUAAAACUCAAAUGAAUUGACGGGGCCCGCACAAGCGGUGGAGCAUGUGGUUUUAAUUCGAUGCAACGCGAAGAACCUUACCUGGUCUUGACAUCCACAGAACUUUUCAGAGAUGNNNNUGUGCCUUCGGGAACUGUGAGACAGGUGCUGCAUGGCUGUCGUCAGCUCGUGUUGUGAAAUGUUGGGUUAAGUCCCGCAACGAGCGCAACCCUUAUCCUUUGUUGCCAGCGGUCCGGCCGGGAACUCAAAGGAGACUGCCAGUGAUAAACUGGAGGAAGGUGGGGAUGACGUCAAGUCAUCAUGGCCCUUACGACCAGGGCUACACACGUGCUACAAUGGCGCAUACAAAGAGAAGCGACCUCGCGAGAGCAAGCGGACCUCAUAAAGUGUGUCGUAGUCCGGAUUGGAGUCUGCAACUCGACUCCAUGAAGUCGGAAUCGCUAGUAAUCGUGGAUCAGAAUGCCACGGUGAAUACGUUCCCGGGCCUUGUACACACCGCCCGUCACACCAUGGGAGUGGGUUGCAAAAGAAGUAGGUAGAGUAUCUUUC